UGUUAUGGCGAGCUGCGCGGGGACGCCUUCGGGUGUGCCGGUUUCCUUCUACGCCGGUCGACCAACCCUGCGCAGUUCGCCUCCAUC
rfam:Terasakiispira papahanaumokuakeensis strain PH27A scaffold00001, whole genome shotgun sequence.